AUUGAACGCUGGCGGCAUGCUUUACACAUGCAAGUCGAACGGCAGCACGGGAGCUUGCUCCUGGUGGCGAGUGGCGAACGGGUGAGUAAUGCAUCGGAACGUGCCCUGAAGUGGGGGAUAACGUAGCGAAAGUUACGCUAAUACCGCAUAUUCUGUGAGCAGGAAAGCAGGGGAUCGCAAGACCUUGCGCUGAUUGAGCGGCCGAUGUCAGAUUAGCUAGUUGGUGAGGUAAAGGCUCACCAAGGCGACGAUCUGUAGCGGGUCUGAGAGGAUGAUCCGCCACACUGGAACUGAGACACGGUCCAGACUCCUACGGGAGGCAGCAGUGGGGAAUUUUGGACAAUGGGGGCAACCCUGAUCCAGCCAUGCCGCGUGAGUGAAGAAGGCCUCGGGUUGUAAAGGU
rnacentral:rRNA from 1 species